CUGUAAGCGCGCAUGAUGCUCUCAAGCAACGUUGACUUCAAACUCUAAAAUUUCCAUAUACGUCGAAUUUUACCACAGUAGUACGGUGUGGUAUCCAAGCGACAACAGUUCGUCUAUGAUUCCGGCAUGUGCGCCACCUGUAUUAAAAUUUUUUAACUUAGUAAACAUCAUUUCGAGUGUGAGGUUUCAAUGGAAGUGUUGUAGUGCCGACGUUUCUAGUUAAAUAUAAAAAAAAUCGAAAUAUGGACAUCCUUCCUGUUACGUUUUAUGGAAAAAAACGAGCUACACAGUUCCUGUUACAGCAGAUGUAUCAGAUACAGAGAGUAUAUCCGAUGAUGAGGACAUCGAAAGUAAGCAUUAGGAUGAGUGUUUAAUUGCAGAUUCGGGAGAUGAAUAUGAUGAAAUACAAAUAGGUAGAAAUAAAUAUGUGGAGUUGGUAAUAGAAGAAUCUGAUAUUGAACAGGAAGAAAUAGCUUUGGAAAAGCCACAACCCAAAAAGAAGAAGAUCAAAAAAGGAAAGAAACCAGUAGUAACAAAUACUUGGUCAGAAGAAGACAUACCUACAAAUGAUGUUCCAGAUUUACCUCCAUCUGAAAUAACUGAAAUUUUAUAACCAAUGGAAUAUUUCACACAGGACACUGGCUCAUCUAUGGACCAAAAGGAAGAUACCGCUUUUGCAAGAAUGGCUACACGACAAUUAUGUGUCAAAAAUGUGACAUGAGAUUAUGUUUUAUACCGGGCAAGAAUUGUUUCUGUAAUUUCCGUAACUUUCCAUAAAUUUUUAUCUUUGUUUUUUAUUGUAACUGUGUAAGUAAUAACGUUCAUGUUUGCUUAUUUUUGUAGCUUUUUUUAUAUAUUGUAAGCCUUAUAAAAUAACUUUUGUUAAUGGUAAUUCCUCGUUUGCACAAUGCAAAAAUUUUAACCUCAAUCUGAUACUGUUGCUUUGGAGCAACGUUCUCAUUAUACCACUAAUGGACAAUGUUACUUGAGGGCAACGUUUUCAAACUCCACUUUUUAUACAAAAAUUGCAUACACCAACCCCACUGAUACGUUCAUAGCCGCUUAAAAAACGCCCACACGAAUUUUUAGAAUUUUAUUUCAAUGAAUUUAGUGUGUGACGGUUACAGGGUUAAGUAAUAAAUAACUAAACAAAUUGCAUAUUUGUAAUGUACAGAAAAAUUACAUGCAAA
rnacentral:lncRNA from 1 species